AACGGGUGAGUAAUACAUCGGAACGUACCCAGUAGCGGGGGAUAACCUCUCGAAAGAGAGGCUAAUACCGCAUACGACCUACGGGUGAAAGAGGGGGAUCGCAAGACCUCUCACUAUUGGAGCGGCCGAUGUCGGAUUAGCUAGUUGGUGGGGUAAAAGCCUACCAAGGCCACGAUCCGUAGCUGGUCUGAGAGGACGGCCAGCCACACUGGAACUGAGACCGGUCCAGACUCCUACGGGAGGCAGCAGUGGGGAAUUUUGGACAAUGGGCGAAAGCCUGAUCCAGCCAUGCCGCGUGAGUGAAGAAGGCCUUCGGGUUGUAAAGCUCUUUCGGCAGGGACGAAAAGGUCC
rnacentral:rRNA from 1 species